CAAUACCUAGCAUGUUUCAAUAUCAUUGUAUUUUAAAAUGAGGCUGCAUUGUCUAGCAGUUAAUUCUUAUGUGUCCAACUAAAAUUAUAUGUUCAUGUUUUUAUAUAUGCUAUGCUCAGCUUUGUAUGUACACUCCUGUUAUAACUCCUUUUGUCUGUAUUGCAUCUUGAAGUUGCCUCAAUAAAAAGAGAUUCGCAGAAAAGAAAACAAAAUUUCCACACAAAAGUAUAUAUUUCUAGAAAGUAGACCUCACGGGCUAUUUACCUAAGGGUUUUUUGAAACUUUUUUGUAGCAAUGUAACUUCUCAUCUAAAUAUUGUAGUAAAAUUGUCUUUUCUUCUGAUUUUUAA